GAAGACGGGUGGGGUUUUUGUUUGCUUGCUUUUGGUAGGGGAGAAGGGAAAGGGACGUAGGCAUGGUGUUUUUCCAGAGGAGGAAACUGAGGUAAAAGUGACUCAUCUGAAAUCCCAUCGUUCAGUAGUGGCGAAACUGAGACAAGAUCCUGGUCUUCUGCCUCCUGGUCCAUUGAUCUUUACACUUCACCAAGUUGGAUUCACGAUGAGUGUAAGAAAUAAGAGGCUACCAUGAGAAGGACACUCACAACUUAUGUGCCAAGAGCUAUCGAAGAAGAUGAAGAAGUAGAGAAAUUCCACCAGGAAACCGACAAGCCCCUCCAGACGAAAUCAAGAAAAGUCUAACUGUCUGAAGAACCAGUGGGAAUGGAGAAUUGGGCUGUGAGAAGGAGGAGGCAAUGGGGUGAUGUCCUUGUUUGGGGAGGAGACAGAUCUGACUGGGGAAAUCCAGAUAAGUGGCUGGCUAUCUGAGAAGCUCGUUUGAUUGAACUCUCUACUCUUGGCAGUUGUCCUGGGUUUGAUUUUGAGACACUUCUGUAUAGUAUCAGCUCUUGACUUGACUCUGCCUGUGAGAUUGACAGACCUUUGGCCAUUCAGAGGACCCAAGGGGCUUUGAAGGAUUGGAAGAGUCAUGCUGCCUCUUAUCCUAACAAUUAGAGCCACCCACAAGUGGGAUGGAAGACGAAGGUUAUUUCAUCCCUGCUGAAGGUCUUUUGGGAGAGGCUAAAUUACCACAGACCACUUUUUGGGGAUGGUGUAAGAGAAGAUCCCUAGACUAGUCCAUUGGCCCCUGAGACGUUUUCUCACUCUGAGCUUUCUCAAAAGCAGCAAAAGGCAAAGAGACCUACAGGUUUGUGACAGUGGCCCCUCCCCUGCUCUCCCAUCUCCGGAACCCUGUGUGGGUGUGGCCCAAAUAGGAGCAGAAGCCCUGACAUUGUAGUCGCACAUGGAUACAACAGAGACAAGGAACUCAAACAAAUUCCUCCUGGUAAUCAACUCCAGAUGCCAUGACCGCUAUUUACUUUCGUUGCUUCAAGAGCUGAGUAUGACAUUGGAAAUACUUUCUGGCACCAGACAGGCCGCUGUGGAAAUUUUUUUUUGUGGGGGGAAGGAGGAAAAUCUUUAUUGAAGUAUUUCGUGACACAAACACCAGCUAAUUGAUUUUCUUAUUAGUAGCAGAUUGUUCUCUGUGCCUCUGCUCCCACCCAACCUUAAAGAAGAAAGGGUUGGAAAAUCAGCCCCAUCCAGGAAUCCUGUGCCAAGUUUCCCCCUCAAGACUUCACCCCGCUCUCCCAACCAACCCAACAUUCAGCAUCAGAUAGCCACCAGAGAUUUCCUGAGAAACACAAAGGUUCCACCUCUCUCAUCAGCCUAGCAAAAAUCGAAGGUUCUGUUACUCCCACCCAUAACCACUAGUCAACUUUCAUGGUACCUCAACUUCAGAAUCCCAUCUCCAAAACAAAAAAAGUAUCUCUUACCUACUUAGAGAAAUUCCACCACUUUCCUCUAGCUUCAAGAGUUGAUUUCUGUUAUAAUGCAAGUAGGAGGGAUAUUUUUAAAAAAAACCAUUCUCAGUCAUGGACAUCUCAGUAUGAAUGAGUUUUCAAUUAUUUCCUCAGCGUAAUUUUGAAUGGGAUGAGGAAGAGGAGACAGAAUGAGGACACUA